GACAGAGGGUGCGAACGUUGUUCGGAAUUACUGGGCGUAAAGCGCGUGUAGGCUGUUCGGAAAGUCGGGUGUGAAAGCCCUGGGCUCAACCUAGGAAGUGCACUCGAAACUCCCGAACUGGAGUCCCGGAGAGGAAGGCGGAAUUCUCGGGUGUAGAGGUGAAAUUCGUAGAUAUCGAGAGGAACAUCGGUGGCGAAGGCGGCCUCUGGACGGUGACUGACGCUGAGACGCGAAAGCGUGGGGAGCA
rnacentral:rRNA from 1 species